rnacentral:lncRNA from 1 species
ACCUCCUUCGUUAGACCAAAAGGUACAUCCUUUUGGAAAAGUAUUGGAGUCCAAUCAACUUACUUCAUUGAUCUCCAAAGACUGUUGAAAAUUAUAAAACUUGCUAUGGGAUUCUCACAUACCAUAAACCACUAGAGAAAGAAUUUUGAUAUUCAGAACCUCAUGAAGAGGUUCCCUUCAUCUUUGGAUAGAGACCAAAGUGAUACAUUCAAAAAGCCUGACAGGUUUCUCCGGAAAAGUGGCCAUCCAUGGGAUGAAUGAAAUGUUCCCUUUCUAUUCCAGGGACUGCAGUGGCAAAGCUAGGCUAGGUCUUGGAGGCUGGUGCAAGGCGAAGCGGGUGAAGGCAGGAGGCUGAUGGAGAGACUGGGGGGAAGAAAAGCCGAAAUGGAUUCACGGUGCCUUGGAUGGAGGACGAGAGGGGAAUUGCAGGCUCCUUCAACUCGUUCUGUCCGGUGAGAAGUGAUCAAGCUUGGGCUGACAAGAGGCUCAGGGAGCCCUCACGUUCUUUCGCUUUUUUACCUGCCAAUCAAACUGCUACAAGACAACACCCUGAUCUGGCAUGGACAUCGCGGGUCCAAGCCUGUAGUCCCAAAUCGGAUAUCUCUGCAGCUGAUUGA